GAGGAGGUGGCUCAUCAGUUAAGAGCACUGGCUGCUCUUCCAGAGGACCUGGGUUUGAUUCCCAGCACCCACA
rnacentral:tRNA from 1 species